UUGGUCUGGGCAAAGCGAUCGACGCAC
rnacentral:piRNA from 1 species